rnacentral:rRNA from 1 species
AUUGAACGCUGGCGGCAGGCUUAACACAUGCAAGUCGAGCGGGGGAAAGUACUUCGGUACUGACCUUAGCGGCGAACGGGUGAGUAACACGUGGGCAACCUGCCCUCAGCUCUGGGAUAACUCCAAGAAAUUGGGGCUAAUACCGGAUAUGACCGCUGACCGCAUGGUCUGGUGGUGGAAAGAUUUAUCGGCUGGGGAUGGGCCCGCGGCCUAUCAGCUUGUUGGUGGGGUAGUGGCCUACCAAGGCGACGACGGGUAGCCGGCCUGAGAGGGUGACCGGCCACACUGGGACUGAGACACGGCCCAGACUCCUACGGGAGGCAGCAGUGGGGAAUAUUGCGCAAUGGGCGGAAGCCUGACGCAGCGACGCCGCGUGGGGGAUGACGGCCUUCGGGUUGUAAACCUCUUUCAGCAGGGACGAAGCGCAAGUGACGGUACCUGCAGAAGAAGCACCGGCCAACUACGUGCCAGCCGCCGCCGUAACAC